AAAAUUGCAGUGAAGGAAAGAGUAAAUUUAAUUAAGUUUUCAGAGAGCCGGGCGUCAAGCUGUGAACCGGUAACGAGAUUAAGUUGAAGAACAUUCCGGAGUAGUUAACCAAAAUCGUUUUGAAAGUAGGCUUAAACGGAUGUCCACCGUUAAAGGGAAUAGGUAUCGAUGUCUAUAAUAUGGCAUUCGUACUGAUUAAGUUAGCAAUUUUUUUGCUAAAUAGGGUGGCACCGCGUUAUAUAAUCGCCCCUAUA
rnacentral:ncRNA from 1 species